GAUGAACGCUGGCGGCGUGCCUAAUACAUGCAAGUCGAGCGAAUGGAUCAAGAGCUUGCUCUUAUGAAGUUAGCGGCGGACGGGUGAGUAACACGUGGGUAACCUGCCCAUAAGACUGGGAUAACUCCGGGAAACCGGGGCUAAUACCGGAUAAUAUUUUGAACUGCAUGGUUCAAAAUUGAAAGGCGGCUUCGGCUGUCACUUAUGGAUGGACCCGCGUCGCAUUAGCUAGUUGGUGAGGUAACGGCUCACCAAGGCAACGAUGCGUAGCCGACCUGAGAGGGUGAUCGGCCACACUGGGACUGAGACACGGCCCAGACUCCUACGGGAGGCAGCAGUAGGGAAUCUUCCGCAAUGGACGAAAGUCUGACGGAGCAACGCCGCGUGAGUGACGAAGGCUUUCGGGUCGUAAAACUCUGUUGUUAGGGAAGAACAGGUGCUAGUUGAAUAAGCUGGCACCUUGACGGUACCUAACCAGAAAGCCACGGCUAACUACGUGCCAGCCGCCGCUGUAA
rnacentral:rRNA from 1 species